UACGGAGGGGGCAAGCGUUGUUCGGAAUUACUGGGCGUAAAGGGCGCGCAGGCGGCUGCUCAAGUCAGGCGUGAAAGGCCUGGGCUCAACCCGGGAAGUGCGCUUGAGACUGGGCUGGCUUGAGUGCGGGAGAGGAUGGUGGAAUUCCCAGUGUAGAGGUGAAAUUCGUAGAUAUUGGGAAGAACACCGGUGGCGAAGGCGGCCAUCUGGACCGCAACUGACGCUGAGGCGCGAAAGCGUGGGGAGCAAACAGG
rnacentral:rRNA from 1 species